UACGGGGGGGGCAAGCGUUGUUCGGAAUUACUGGGCGUAAAGGGUUCGUAGGCGGUCAACUAAGUCACACGUGAAAUCCCCAGGCUUAACCUGGGAACUGCGUGUGAUACUGGAUGGCUUGAAUCCGGGAGAGGAAUGCGGAAUUCCAGGUGUAGCGGUGAAAUGCGUAGAUAUCUGGAGGAACACCGGUGGCGAAGGCGGCAUUCUGGACCGGCAUUGACGCUGAUGAACGAAAGCCAGGGGAGCAAACAGG
rnacentral:rRNA from 1 species